CCGCACGCUGAUUAAAACACUUGGACUAGGCUUCCAGCGCAAUUGAUGUUCCUACCCUCCAUUCAUGGCCCAUGAUCCAUUCAUUCACAUUUAUUUUCUUUUUCUUUUUUAAUUCUUAUUUUAUUUUUCUGUUUUGUUGGUUUAUUCUUAAAAAUAUUUUCUUUAUUCAUUAAAAUACCCAAAAAUUAUUUUUCACAUUCUUGAUGUCUUAUUUAAUUUAUUUUUAUUUUUAUUUUCAUAUUUAUUUAAUGUUAAUAUUUUAUUUUAAUUAUUUCUUUCAAGUGGU
rnacentral:lncRNA from 1 species